AUAGGCAAAGAAAAAAUGUGUAUUCUGCUCUGCUUCAGUGAAAUGUACUAUACGUAUCAAUUAACUUUGUCUGGUCUCGUGUGCCUUUGAACACUUGUGUUUCAUUUUAAACUUUAUUUCUAAAUUGGAGGAUAGUUUCUUUCCAGUGUUGUGUUGGCUUCUGCUGUACAACACUGUGUAUUAGCAUAUAGGAGGCCAAAGUCUUUUUUUGUGUGUGUGUUGUUGAGUGUCUGUUACUUAUUCAUUUUUCUAGUCCCUAUAGAAAUGUUUAUCGUCUUUUCCCCAUUCCGUUUCUAGAAUGUUUUAUCACCUUUACUACCACAACAUCCAAGUUAUUUUCAAGGAGCCUGCCUACUUUUUCUUUCAUUAUGUUUUGAGUUUUUACCACAUUCCUUUGCCUACAACAUAUUUCU
rnacentral:sRNA from 1 species